rnacentral:rRNA from 1 species
CCUACGGGAGACAGCAGUGAGGAAUAUUGGUCAAUGGUCGGGAGACUGAACCAGCCAAGCCGCGUGAGGGAUGAAGGUACAGAGUAUCGUAAACCUCUUUUGUCAGGGAACAAAGGCGGGGCCGUGUCCCCGGAUGAGUGUACCUGAAGAACAAGCAUCGGCUAACUCCGUGCCAGCAGCCGCGGUAAUACGGAGGAUGCGAGCGUUAUCCGGAUUUAUUGGGUUUAAGGGGUGCGCAGGCGGUCUGUUAAGUCAGCGGUCAAAGCCCGGGGCUCAACCCCGGCCCGCCGUUGAAACUGGCAGUCGCGAGUUGGAGAGAAGUAUGCGGAAUGCGCGGUGUAGCGGUGAAAUGCAUAGAGAUCGCGCAGAACUCCGAUUGCGAAGGCAGCAUGCCGGCUCCACACUGACGCUGAGGCACGAAAGCGUGGGUAUCGAACAGGAUUAGAUACCCUGGUAGUC